rfam:Bacterium F16 isolate F16 NODE_24_length_9723_cov_355.514, whole genome shotgun sequence.
AACUGCCAUGGGAAACCAUGGCGGCUACCUGCAGAAGUCAGCCGAAGGCAUAGUAGCC